rnacentral:rRNA from 1 species
GCGGAAGCCAAUACUGCAGUCGAGCGAGCUUGCCUAGAUGAUUUUAGUGCUUGCACUAAAUGAAACUAGAUACAAGCGAGCGGCGGACGGGUGAGUAACACGUGGGUAACCUGCCCAAGAGACUGGGAUAACACCUGGAAACAGAUGCUAAUACCGGAUAACAACACUAGACGCAUGUCUAGAGUUUGAAAGAUGGUUCUGCUAUCACUCUUGGAUGGACCUGCGGUGCAUUAGCUAGUUGGUAAGGUAACGGCUUACCAAGGCAAUGAUGCAUAGCCGAGUUGAGAGACUGAUCGGCCACAUUGGGACUGAGACACGGCCCAAACUCCUACGGGAGGCAGCAGUAGGGAAUCUUCCACAAUGGACGAAAGUCUGAUGGAGCAACGCCGCGUGAGUGAAGAAGGGUUUCGGCUCGUAAAGCUCUGUUGGUAGUGAAGAAAGAUAGAGGUAGUAACUGGCCUUUAUUUGACGGUAAUUACUUAGAAAGUCACGGCUAACUACGUGCCAGCAGCCGCGGUAAUACGUAGGUGGCAAGCGUUGUCCGGAUUUAUUGGGCGUAAAGCGAGUGCAGGCGGUUCAAUAAGUCUGAUGUGAAAGCCUUCGGCUCAACCGGAGAAUUGCAUCAGAAACUGUUGAACUUGAGUGCAGAAGAGGAGAGUGGAACUCCAUGUGUAGCGGUGGAAUGCGUAUAUAUAUGGAAGAACACCAGUGGCGAAGGCGGCUCUCUGGUCUGCAACUGACGCUGAGGCU